rnacentral:misc_RNA from 1 species
CUCGCGCUCGCUCCCGGGCC